rnacentral:rRNA from 1 species
GAUGAACGCUGGCGGCGUGCUUAACACAUGCAAGUCGAACGAUGAAGCCCAGCUUGCUGGGUGGAUUAGUGGCGAACGGGUGAGUAACACGUGAGUAACCUGCCCUUGACUCUGGGAUAAGCCUGGGAAACUGGGUCUAAUACUGGAUAUGACUUCUCAUCGCAUGGUGGGGGGUGGAAAGAUUUAUUGGUCUUGGAUGGACUCGCGGCCUAUCAGCUUGUUGGUGAGGUAAUGGCUCACCAAGGCGACGACGGGUAGCCGGCCUGAGAGGGUGACCGGCCACACUGGGACUGAGACACGGCCCAGACUCCUACGGGAGGCAGCAGUGGGGAAUAUUGCACAAUGGGCGCAAGCCUGAUGCAGCGACGCCGCGUGAGGGAUGACGGCCUUCGGGUUGUAAACCUCUUUCAGUAGGGAAGGAGCGAGAGUGACGGUACCUGCAGAAGAAGCGCCGGCUAACUACGUG